CCAGCCCUUGCUGUGUCAGUCGCCGUCGCGGUGGAGGAGCACAGGGGGCUCAGGCCGCCUGGAGCAGCUAGAGCCGGCCGGUCGCCUGCCUUCCCGUCAAGGGUGCGGCUAAGAAGGACGGGCAGAAGAUUUGUGAGCUGACCGUUGCCAGUGUGGCAGUAGAUAUUCGGAAUAUGCUAGAAGAAACCCAGCUGAAAUUUGAGGAAAGACAGAGGGUUUGAAGGUCAUUGGGAUCACAAAUAAGAGGGAAACCUCUGUUAUAUGGAGUAAAUCCAUUGGUUGUCCACUGUACAAUGCCAUUGUGCGGAUGAAUGCUCAUACAUGCUCUGUUUGCAAGUCUGUCUUUUUUUAUCAUUUAUUCGUUUUCUAUUAAUCAUGGGCUGAUUUCCCGAGGCAUGCUGAGCCAACCGAUUGGCCUCUUCAUUAUGAAACCGAGGAACAUGCUCUAAUCGGAAAUCUUUGAA